CCUACGGGAGGCAGCAGUGGGGAAUAUUGGGCAAUGGGCGCAAGCCUGACCCAGCAACGCCGCGUGAAGGAAGAAGGCUUUCGGGUUGUAACCUUCUUUUCUCAGGGACGAAGAAAGUGACGGUACCUGAGGAAUAAGCCACGGCUAACUACGUGCCAGCAGCCGCGGUAAUACGGAGGUGGCAAGCGUUAUCCGGAUUUAUUGGGUGUAAAGGGCGUGUAGGCGGGAGCGCAAGUCAGAUGUGAAAACUCAGGGCUCAACCCUGAGCCUGCAUUUGAAACUGUGUUUCUUGAGUGCUGGAGAGGCAAUCGGAAUUCCGUGUGUAGCGGUGAAAUGCGUAGAUAUACGGAGGAACACCAGUGGCGAAGGCGGAUUGCUGGACAGUAACUGACGCUGAGGCGCGAAAGCGUGGGGAGCAAACAGGAUUAGAUACCCCUGUAGUC
rnacentral:rRNA from 1 species